UGAGUACAAGAUGCUACGGCAUUGAAGCAGUCUAUGUCAUACUUCCAAGAAAAGCUUGCAAUGUCAUAAACAAAUAAUGCCUGUACCAUAACCGACACAGGUGGGUAGGUAGAGUAUACUAAGGGGCGCGAGAUAACUCUCUCUAAGGAACUCGGCAAAAUGACUCCGUAACUUCGGGAGAAGGAGUACCUUAUUUUAUAAGGUUGCAAUAACAAGGUCCAAGCAACUGUUUACCAAAAACACAGGUCUCCGCUAAGUCGUAAGACGAUGUAUGGGGGCUGACGCCUGCCCAGUGCCAGAAGGUUAAAGAAGUUGGUUAGCAUUAGCGAAGCUGAUAACUGAAGCCCUGGUGAACGGCGGCCGUAACAAUAACGGUCCUAAGGUAGCGAAAUUCCUUGUCGGGUAAGUUCCGACCCGCACGAAAGGCGUAAUGAUUUGGAUACUGUCUCGGAGAGGGGCUCGGUGAAAUAGACUUGUCUGUGAAGAUGCGGACUACCUGCACCUGGACAGAAAGACCCUAUGAAGCUUUACUGUAACUUGAGAUUGAAAUUGGACUUUAUUUGCGCAGUAUAGGUGGGAGACCUCGAAAGUAUUCUUGCGGGAAUAUUGGAGUCAUCAGUGAGAUACCACUCUUAUAAUGUUAGAUUUCUAACUUUGUAUCAUUAUCUGGUCAAAGAACAGUUUCAGGCGGGCAGUUUGACUGGGGCGGUCGCCUCCCAAAUGGUAACGGAGGCGCACAAAGGUUUCCUCUGAACGUGUAGAAAUCGUAUCUAGAGUGUAAAGGCAUAAGGAAGCUUGACUGUGAGACCUACAAGUCGAGCAGGGACGAAAGUCGGUCUUAGUGAUCUGACGGUGCUGAGUGGAAAGGCCGUCACUCAACGGAUAAAAGUUACUCUAGGAUAACAGGCUGAUCUCCCCCAAGAGUUCACAUCGACGGGGAGGUUUGGCACCUCGAUGUCGGCUCAUCGCAUCCUGGGGCGGUAGUACGUCCCAAGGGUUGGGCUGUUCGCCCAUGAAAGCGGUACGCGAGCUGGGUUCAGAACGUCGUGAGACAGUUCGGUCCAUAUCCGGUGUAGGCGUUAGAAUAUUGAGAGGAGCCUUCUUUAGUACGAGAGGACCGAGAAGGACAUACCUCUGGUGUACCAGUUAUCGUGCCAACGGUAAGCGCUGGGUAGCUAUGUAUGGAGAGGUUAACCGCUGAAAGCAUCUAAGUGGGAAGCCCACCUCAAGAUAAG
rnacentral:rRNA from 1 species